AAGACAGGAAGUUACCAGGUGCUAGCAGAGACUGUUUCUUGGGGAAAAAAGCUAGUGUUCGCAAGCCAAAGAGUUUUUUUUUUUCAACUACUUGGAUCUAAAUUCUCUCCCUGAUGCUCUUGGUUGUGUGUCAGUAAGAAAAGCAGAAACUUUUAAUUUAUCUGUAAAAUAAGGAUGAGAAAAUGUAUCAUGUUGAGUGAAAAUAAUAGCUCUUUCAAGUAUACAUUAUCUCAUUUGAUCUUUCCACCAAACCUGUAAGACAGGCAUUUUAUUCUAUUUUAUGUAUGAGGAACCUGAGACUCUGAGGGCUCAUGAUUUUCCCAGUGUCUGAGGUGCUAUAAAAUUCAGAGGUUGGAUGAGAUGAUCCCCGAGCUUCCUUCCCGAUCCGCUGUCUUGGACAUCUUUGAAUCUGCAAUGUACAUUCGAGCUCUCUGGAAGAUUAAAAGUCUUUUGCAGAUGUGGGGGUGGUGGUGGCAUGACUCACCAUCAAUGCCCUCUCCCCCCUCCUUAAGACUGUAAGGUCCUUGAAAGCAAGACUUGGUUCUACUCUCUUAUUACUACAUCGAUUCCUACGGAGAAUGGGCUGAACCUUUAAGUAUUUGCUAUGAGCCAUUCUUCACUUCCAAAUACAGCUCAGUUGAUGACCUAAAUUGCUCCUUUGCCGCCAGAAGUCAGCAUCUUGGUGUCAAUUUACUGGGCUGAGUCAA
rnacentral:lncRNA from 1 species